UUCGGAAGUGAUUAAAGUGGCGCACGGGUGAGUAACGCGUAGAUAAUCUGCCCUUCAGUCCGGGACAACUUUCCGAAAGGGGAGCUAAUACCGGAUAACAAUGUUUAACAUAAGUUUAAUAUUUGAAAGCUCCGGUGCUGAUGGAUGAGUCUGCGUCCCAUUAGCUUGUUGGUGCGGUAGUGGCGCACCAAGGCUGCGAUGGGUAGCGGGUUUGAGAGGACGAUCCGCCACACUGGAACUGAGACACGGUCCAGACUCCUACGGGAGGCAGCAGUGGGGAAUAUUGCACAAUGGAGGAAACUCUGAUGCAGCAAUGCCGCGUGAGUGAAGAAGGCCCUUGGGUCGUAAAGCUCUUUUAUGGGGGAAGAUGAUGACGGUACCCCAAGAAUAAGCACCGGCUAACUACGUGCCAGCAGCCGCGGUAAUACGUAGGGUGCGAGCGUUGUUCGGAAUUACUGGGCGUAAAGGGCGCGCAGGCGGAGGUGUAAGUCGGAGGUGAAAGCCCGGGGCUCAACCCCGGAGGGUCUUUCGAAACUGCAUCUCUAGAGAGGGUCAGGGGCCGGCAGAAUUCCUGGUGUAGAGGUGAAAUUCGUAGAUAUCAGGAGGAAUACCGGUGGCGAAAGCGGCCGGCUGGGGCCACUCUGACGCUGAGGCGCGAAAGCGUGGGGAGCAAACAGGAUUAGAUACCCUGGUAGUCCACGCCGUAAACGAUGAGCACUG
rnacentral:rRNA from 1 species